AUCCAUGAUGGCCGAGAAAUCCAGGCAUCGAGCUUUUAACUCGACCACAGUUAUUUAUACUUCAGGAUG
rnacentral:tRNA from 1 species